UUGUCACAACCACUUUCAGUACCUAAUUUACAUACUAGUAUAGCAAAAAACAUGUAGGACCCCCCUCCCGAAAAAAAAAUGAUAUUCUCAACGAAUUAGCUCCUAUUAUUUUUCUACAGGGAGUAUAUAGGAGGCCGGUUACAUUAAUCAAAUCACAAAUUAGCUAUUACUGUACAUGAUAUAUCGUCUUUAAAUUUUGAAUAAAGUUGAUAUAUAUUGCUGAUGAUGAUUGUAGGGUCAUUUCAUAUCCUGAUGUUUUAUACAUUGCAUAGCGAUACAUCAGAAGUGCGAAGACAAUGACCGUGAAUGAAUCCCAAAAUCAGUGUAUGUCGUUGCAAAUUUUAGGAAAAGUUAAUCUGUAUUUUAUCAAUGCCGUGAAGCAUAUAAUUCAGACCCACCGCUGUGGGAAUUAUCUCUCAUGAGAAUAGUGAUAAAAUGCGAUCUGCAAGCUUACAGAAAAGUCGGCCAAAUUGUUUUGGAGGAAGUAUACAGUGAAGUGGAACAGCGAUAAAGGUACAUGUAGCUGAAUAAACAAUGGAUUGGUUUGAAGUGGGGAACACAUGUUACUUCGGAUAAAAUGAGACCCAGCCUUUGUGUAUCAGGACCAGUUAUAAAGACUAUAUGUUGAACACCUACAUGUUUAUCAGACGCGGAAUAUUCAUGAGAUACUGACUGUUACUUCGGAUAAAAUGAGACCCAACCUUUGUGUAUCAGGACUAAUAUGUUGAACACCUACAUGUUUAUCAGACACGGAAUAUUCAUGAGAUACUGACUGGAUGUGUUGGAAGGAUUUAUUGGCAACAACUUUCGUGAAAACAUAUCAGCGCGUCAGGGUGGAUAUUUUUCGAGGAAUUUGAAUAGGAAGACAAUAUAAGUUUAUAUAGGCAUCUAACGUUACUCUCGAGAGAUCUUAUUCUAUACGCUAUAUAUUUUCCCGAGUGUCGCAAAAAAGUACGAUUGUGAAAGCUUGGUGUGUAGGUCUUUAAAUCCUCACAGGAACCAAUGUACCCGAAAUGCCAGAAAUUACAUAAAGGCUUCCUAGCUAAAUUUUGAUUAAUAAUGCGAUCAUCCCUCCAAAUUAUCGUUAAACAGAAUAUGUAGCUUUUUAGCGAUUAAAGAAAAAAAAAUAAAUAAUACACUAAUUCAAAGUAUAGUUAAAGCAUUCCAAAACAGUCUUUGAUAAGACGACCAGUGUAAAUAAGUUGACUGUCCGCAUUGUCAUGAGACUGCAUGAAAGAAUUGCAGCAAAGUCAUUUUUUGUUUAUUUUUAAUGCUUCGACUUUGUAAAGAUGUCGUCUUGUGUUGGGGGAAAUUUACCCCCAAAGCAAUUACAACACAAUCAUUCUCUGUUUGUUUUUAUCGCUUCGACUUUCUAAAGAUGUCGUCUUGUGUUGGAGGAAAUUUACUCCAAAGAAUUGUAAGACAGAAACUUUUUUAAGGCUUUGACUUUGUAAAGAUGCGUCUUGUGUUGGAGGAAAUUUACUCCAAAGAAUUAUAACACGGACAUUUUUUUAAAGCUCUGACUUUGUAAAGAUGCGGUCUUGUGUUGGAAGAAAUUUACUCCAAAGAAUUGUAAGGCUUUAACUUUGUAAAGAUGCGUCUUGUGUUGGAGGAAAUUUACUCUAAAGAAUUGAAACACAGAAACUUUUUUAAGGCUUUGACUUUGUAAAGAUGCGGUCUUGUGUUGGAGGAAAUUUACUCCAAAGAAUUUUAACACAGACAUUUUUUUUAAGGCUUUGACUUUGUAAAGAUGCGUCUUGUGCUGGAGGAAAUUUACCCCAAAGAAUUGUAACACGGACAUUUUUUUAAGGCUCUGACUUUGUAAAGAUGCGGUUUUGUGUUGGAGGAAAUUUACGCCAAAGAAUUGAAACACAGUCAUUUUUAGGGUUUUAAUUUACGGCUUUGACUUUGUAAAGAUGCGUCUUGUGUUGGGGGAAAUUUACUCCAAAGAAUUGUAACACAGAAACUUUUUUAAGGCUUUGACUUUGUAAAGAUGCGGUCUUGUGUUGGAGGAAAUUUACUCCAAAGAAUUUUAACACAGAUGUAAAGAUCUUAGUAAAGAUGCGGUCUUUUGUUGGAGGAAAUUUACUCCAAAGAAUUUUAACACAGAAAUUUUUUUAAGGCUUUGACUUUGUAAAGAUGCGUCUUGUUUUGGAGGAAAUUACUCCAAAGAAUUGUAACACGGACAUUUUUUUUAAGGCUCUGACUUUGUAAAGAUGCGGACUUGUGUUGGAGGAAAUUUACUCCAAAGAAUUGUAACACAGAACUUUUUUGGUAAGGCAUUGUCUUUGUAAAGAUGCGUCUUGUGUUGGAGGAUAUUUACUCCAAGGAAUUGUAACACAGUCAUUUUUUUGUUUAUCAUUAAGUCUUCAAAUUUGUAAGAUUGAUGUCUUGUGUUGGAGGAAAUUUACCCCAAUGAAUUUCAACACAGUUAUUUUCUGUUUAUUUGUAAACUUAAGGCUUUGAGAUCGUAUAGAUGUCGUGUUGUGGGAAAUUUACCCCAAAGAUAUUGCAACACAGUCACUUUCUGUAUAUCUAUAUCGCGUCGACUUUGUAUUGAUGUCGUCUUGUUCUGGGGGAAAUUUACCCCCAAAGAAUUGCAACAGAUAUGCAUACCUGUAUAGAUUUUAAGGUUGAAAAUUUGUAAAGACGAUGUUUCAUCUUGGGGGUAAAUUUGCCCGAACAGUGUAACAUAUAAUCCAUUGUCGAACUUUACUCAGAUUUAUCGCUUGCAUAAACUGCAUUGUAUUUGGGGGUAAAUUUACUUUGUAAAAAACGAUUAGAUUUUUUUCUUGAAAAUAACAAUUUAUUGUAAAUAGAAUUUAAAUAUAUUCUGUAUAAUUUUUAGGAUAUGUCAAAGCUUCACUUUCACCAGUAACUGUUUUUGCAUUUGUCUUUGACUGUUUAUUCUCCUAAUAUCCCCCUUAAAAAUUCUUAAUUUCAUAUUAUAUAUACAUAGAAGCUUGGUUAGUUUUUGGGGGUAAAUUUCUAUUCUGAAGAGUUUCUUGAUUUCUUGUUACGUGUUAUGAUGUGUUAUACGGAAAAUAAAGCUUAAACUGUC